GGGGUAGUAGCUCAGUGGUAGAGCGCUCGCUUUGCACGUGACUUUUCACCUGUGUUUAGUUCAUGAAUGCGAGAGGUCCAGGGUUCAAUCCCCUGCUGCUCCA